rnacentral:sRNA from 1 species
AUGGCUGUCGUCAGCUCGUGUCGUGAGAUGUUGGGUUAAGUCCCGCAACGAGCGCAACCCUUAUCCUAUGUUGCCAGCGCGUAAUGGCGGGGACUCGUGGGAGACUGCCGGGGUCAACUCGGAGGAAGGUGGGGACGACGUCAAGUCAUCAUGCCCCUUACGUCCAGGGCUGCAAACAUGCUACAAUGGCCGGUACAAAGGGCUGCUAUCCCGCGAGGGUGAGCGAAUCCCAGAAAGCCGGUCUCAGUUCGGAUUGGAGUCUGCAACUCGACUCCAUGAAGUCGGAGUCGCUAGUAAUCCCGGAUCAGCUACGCCGGGGUGAAUACGUUCCCGGGCCUUGUACACACCGCCCGUCACACCACGAAAGUUGGUAACACCCGAAGCCAGUGGCCCAACCGCAAGGAGGGAGCUGUCGAAGGUGGGACCAGCGAUUGGGGUGAAGUCGUAACAAGGUAGCCGUACCGGAAGGUGCGGCUGGAUCACCUCCUUUCUAAGGAGCACACCAUUGCCGUAUGCCAACAUCUUGUUGGUCACGGUGGUGCACUCCCGAGUCGAUCACUCGUUACUCGAGCCUUUCGAGCACCAACGGUUUGUAGGUUUCGACCUCGCCGUCAGCCAGCUCGUUUGGUCCGGUCCUCCCUCUGUUCCGUUUUUUAGGGGCGCUGCUUUGUCGCGUCUCGUUCCUUGAGAGUUGGAUAGCAAGCACGAGCAUCUUUUUUUCGAGCUGAAUUCCAAGCUACAAAGAGCCAACGGUGGAUGCCUUGGCGCCUGAUGCCGAUGAAGGACGUGGGUGACUGCGAAAAGCCACGGGGAGGUGUCGACCGACCGUCGAUCCGUGGAUGUCCGAAUGGGGAAACCCGG